GACGAACGCUGGCGGCGUGCUUAACACAUGCAAGUCGAACGGAAAGGCCCUGCUUUUGUGGGGUGCUCGAGUGGCGAACGGGUGAGUAACACGUGAGUAACCUGCCCUUGACUUUGGGAUAACUUCAGGAAACUGGGGCUAAUACCGUAUAGGAUCUCCUGUUGCGUGGUGGGGGUUGGAAAGUUUCGGCGGGUGGGGAUGGACUCGCGGCUUAUCAGCUUGUUGGUUGGGUAGUUGCUUACCAAGGCUUUGACGGGUAGCCGGCCUGAGAGGGUGACCGGCCACAUUGGGACUGAGAUACGGACCAGACUCCUACGGGAGGCAGUAGUGGGGAAUAUUGCACAAUGGGAGGACGUCUGAUGAAGAAACGCCGCGUGCGGGAUGCCGGCCUUCGGGUUGUAAACCGCUUCAGCCUGUGACGAAGCGUGAGUGACGGUACUGGGUAAAGAAGCACCGGCUAACUACGUG
rnacentral:rRNA from 1 species